rnacentral:rRNA from 1 species
GGGAGUGAAAUAGAACCUGAAACCCUGCACUUACAAGCUGUGGAAGCACAUUUCUUGUGUGACCGCGUACUUUUUGUAGAACGGGCCAACGAGUUACGUUAAGUCGCAAUGUUACGCUCUUAAGGUUCGUAGCCGUAGCGAAAGCGAGUUUUAACUGAGCGUUCAGUUACUUGACGUAGACCCGAAACCGGGCGACCUACCCAUGGGCAGGAUGAAGCGAAAGUAAAAGUUCGUGGAGGUCCGAACCCACGAGCGUUGAAAAGCUCGGGGAUGACUUGUGGGUAGCGGUGAAAUUCCAAUCGAGCCCGGAGAUAGCUGGUUCUCCCCGAAAUAGCUUUAGGGCUAGCCUCAAGGUGAGAGAUACGGAGGUAGAGCACUGAAUGUCCUAGGGGGUAUUGCACCUACCGAAGACUAUCAAACUCCGAAUGCCGUCAUCUUAUACUUGGGAGUCAGACUGUGGGUGAUAAGAUUCAUAG